CUUCUGUUGAAGUUCCAUCUACAAAUGGAUAAAAUUUUCGUUUUAAUCUAUUAAGAAUGGUCAUACCCAAUAUCUUGUUUUUUUCCUAAGGUAUUGGGUAUGGCUCCUCUUUCUCUACCCGAAUUUGAGUUCUUUAUCAUAAGGGUUAUCUCCAAUGAUAACUAUCUUUUUUUAUUCCAAAUUAACGACGAGAUUUAUUAUCGUUUCUCGCAUGUCUCUCGAAAGUCCGAGUAGGCACGAAUUCUCCCAAUUUGUGAUCUACCAUACCUUGUGUUAUAUAAAUAGGUAAAUGUUCCUUUCCAUUAUGAAUAGAGAAUGUAUGGCCAACCAUUUGGGGUAUAAUGGUAGAUGCCCGAGACCAAGUUCGUAUUAUUUCUUUCUCCUUCUUCAUCUGAAGUUUUUCCAUUUUUCUCGAUAAAUGAUUAGCUACAAAAGGCUCUUUUUUUCUCGGUAAAUGAUUAGUUACAUAAAGCUCUUUAAAAGGCUCUUUUUUUCUCUUUCUCGAUAAAUGAUUAGCUACAAAAGGCUCGUUUUUUUUUGAACGUCUCACAGCUGGUUCCUCCUUUUUUUCCAUUUUAAAGAUUGGCAUUCUAUGUCCAAUAGAAUAUCUCGAUCUAAGUAUGAAGGUCAGAAUAAAUACAAUAAUGAUGAAUGSAAAAAAGAGAAAAUCCUUUAAGGGGCGGAUGUAGCCAAGUGGAUCAAGGCAGUGGAUUGUGAAUCCAC
rnacentral:misc_RNA from 1 species